rnacentral:rRNA from 1 species
ACAGUUAAAGCAUUUUUACUGCGUUUGAAUACUACAGCAUGGAAUAACAAAAUUGAACAAGCCAGAAUUCUGUUCUUUUUUCUUAUUUUGGCUUAGUUACGAUUAAUAGGAGUAGCUUGGGGGCAUUUGUAUUCAGAUGUCAGAGGUGAAAUUCUUAGAUUUUCUGGAGACAAACAACUGCGAAAGCAUUUGCCUAAAAUAUUUCCAUUAAUCAAGAACGAAAGUUAAGGGAGUGAAGACGAUCAGAUACCGUCGUAAUCUUAACCAUAAACUAUACCAACUAGGUUUUGGAUGAAAAGUUUUUAAAUAAGAGAAUUCCUUUCGGGGAAAUUUCUUAGAUUGCUUCUUUCAGUACCUUAUGAGAAAUCAAAGUCUUUGGGUUCUGGGGCGAGUAUUCGCGCAAGCGAGAAAGUUAAAAGAAUUGACGGAAGGGCACCACCAGGCGUGGAGCUUGCGGCUUAAUUUGACUCAACACGGGGAAACUCGCUAGUUUAAGACAAGAGUAGGAUUGACAGAUUAAUAGCUCUUUCUUGAUUUCUUGGAUGGUGAUGCAUGGCCGUUUUUAGUUCGUGAAUAUGAUUUGUCUGGUUAAUUCCGAUAACGAACGAGAUCUUAACCUGCUAAUUAGCGGCGAAUACGUUAUAUUCUUAUGUGAAAUUGAAUAUAGCUGAAUU